ACGAAGGUCCCAAGCGUUGUUCGGAAUUACUGGGCGUAAAGCGUGUGUAGGCGGUUGGGUAAGUCAGAUGUGAAAUCCCGGGGCUCAACCUCGGAACUGCAUCCGAUACUGCCUGACUAGAGGACUGGAGGGGAGUCUGGAAUUCUCGGUGUAGCAGUGAAAUGCGUAGAUAUCGAGAGGAACACUAGUGGCGAAGGCGAGACUCUGGACAGAUCCUGACGCUGAGACACGAAGGCUAGGGUAGCGAACGGG
rnacentral:rRNA from 1 species